rnacentral:rRNA from 1 species
GACGAACGCUGGCGGCGUGCUUAACACAUGCAAGUCGAACGGAAAGGCCCUGCUUUCGUGGGGUGCUCGAGUGGCGAACGGGUGAGUAACACGUGAGUAACCUGCCCUUGACUUUGGGAUAACUUCAGGAAACUGGGGCUAAUACAGGAUAGGAGCUCCUGCUGCAUGGUGGGGGUUGGAAAGUUUCGGCGGUUGGGGAUGGAUUCGCGGCUUAUCAGCUUGUUGGUGGGGUAGUGGCUUACCAAGGCUUUGACGGGUAGCCGGCCUGAGAGGGUGACCGGCCACAUUAGUACUGAGAGACGGCCCAGACGCCUACGGGAGGCAACAGGGGGGAAUAUUACACAAUGAGCGGAAGCCUGAGACAGCAACGCCGCGUGCGUGAUGACGGCCUUCGGGUUGAGAACCGCUUUCGCCUGUUACGAAGCGGGAGUGACGGUAAUGAGUAAAGAAGCACCGGCUAACUACGUG